rnacentral:tRNA from 1 species
CCCUGGUAAUUCAGCUGGUAAAGGAUCUGCUUGUAAUGCAGGAGACCCAGGUUCGAUUCCUGGGUCAGGCA